AGAACUUAGCAGAGAUGCUUUGGUGCCUUCGGGAACUCGUGAGACAGGUGCUGCAUGGCUGUCGUCAGCUCGUGUUGUGAAAUGUUGGGUUAAGUCCCGCAACGAGCGCAACCCUUAUCCUUUGUUGCCAGCGGUCCGGCCGGGAACUCAAAGGAGACUGCCAGUGAUAAACUGGAGGAAGGUGGGGAUGACGUCAAGUCAUCAUGGCCCUUACGAGUAGGGCUACACACGUGCUACAAUGGCGCAUACAAAGAGAAGCGACCUCGCGAGAGCAAGCGGACCUCAUAAAGUGCGUCGUAGUCCGGAUUGGAGUCUGCAACUCGACUCCAUGAAGUCGGAAUCGCUAGUAAUCGUGGAUCAGAAUGCCACGGUGAAUACGUUCCCGGGCCUUGUACACACCGCCCGUCACACCAUGGGAGUGGGUUGCAAAAGAAGUAGGUAGCUUAACCUUCGGGAGGGCGCUUACCACUUUGUGAUUCAUGACUGGGGUGAAGUCGUAACAAGGUAAGCGUAGUGCU
rnacentral:rRNA from 1 species